rnacentral:rRNA from 1 species
AUGGAACCACGUCAGCCCGAGCUCGAGAAGUCCAGCGCUGCCACCGUGGACGAGGUGCUAAAGCCGGUGGAGGCGCCAUCGGACGGUGAAGGAUGCCCCAUAUGCUUGGAUCAAGAGGGGGCAACGGCCGUGUGGAAGGAGACAGUGUGGGGGCACAUCUUCCAUGGGCGAUGCGUGGAGAGGUGGCUCCAGACGAAGGGAAGUUGCCCCAUGUGUCGGCGACAGCUUCAACAACCACGUGCUCCUGCAAAACCAGAUGUUCGAUAUCGUAGCCCCCUCAUAUUUUUGGCGAUGGAAUUGGAAGACAACUCUCCUCUUUCAAAUCGUACUAACUAUUUUAGACAAUACAGGGAGGAGACUUUUGUUGGAUGA